rnacentral:tRNA from 2 species
GGCCCCAUCGUCUAGUGGUCAGGACAUCGGCCUUUCACGCCGGUAACGCCGGUUCGAUCCCGGCUGGGGCUA